rnacentral:rRNA from 1 species
UUAGUGGCGCACGGGUGAGUAACGCGUGGGAAUCUGCCCUUGGGUUCGGAAUAACAGUUAGAAAUGACUGCUAAUACCGGAUGAUGUCUUCGGACCAAAGAUUUAUCGCCCAAGGAUGAGCCCGCGUAGGAUUAGGUAGUUGGUGGGGUAAUGGCCCACCAAGCCGACGAUCCUUAGCUGGUCUGAGAGGAUGAUCAGCCACACUGGGACUGAGACACGGCCCAGACUCCUACGGGAGGCAGCAGUGGGGAAUAUUGGACAAUGGGCGAAAGCCUGAUCCAGCAAUGCCGCGUGAGUGAUGAAGGCCUUAGGGUUGUAAAGCUCUUUUACCAGGGAUGAUAAUGACAGUACCUGGAGAAUAAGCUCCGGCUAACUCCGUGCCAGCAGCCGCGGUAAU